AUUGAACGCUGGCGGCAGGCCUAACACAUGCAAGUCGAGCGGAUGAAGGGAGCUUGCUCCUGGAUUCAGCGGCGGACGGGUGAGUAAUGCCUAGGAAUCUGCCUGGUAGUGGGGGAUAACGUUCGGAAACGGGCGCUAAUACCGCAUACGUCCUGAGGGAGAAAGUGGGGGAUCUUCGGACCUCACGCUAUCAGAUGAGCCUAGGUCGGAUUAGCUAGUUGGUGGGGUAAAGGCCUACCAAGGCGACGAUCCGUAACUGGUCUGAGAGGAUGAUCAGUCACACUGGAACUGAGACACGGUCCAGACUCCUACGGGAGGCAGCAGUGGGGAAUAUUGGACAAAGGGCGAAAGCCUGAUCCAGCCAUGCCGCGUGUGUGAAGAAGGUCUUCGGAUUGUAAAGCACUUUAAGUUGGGAGGAAGGGCAGUAAGUUAAUACCUUGCUGUUUUGACGUUACCAACAGAAUAAGCACCGGCUAACUUCGUG
rnacentral:rRNA from 1 species